GGUUAUGCCACUCUAGGAUUUUCAAAAAAUCGCUUUUUUUUUGCUUUAAAUAGUUCCUUAGGGUCUCAGAAAUAACAUAUUGCAGGAUUAUGGCUCGGAAAAAUCUCUAAAUAAUUUAUUUUCGAAGUUCCUUGCAAGGCUGCACGGUACGCGGCGAGCUCAUUUUGUCAGUUCUACGGGGGGUGAUCUUUGAAGGAUCUACAGCAGGUAUACGGCAGAUGUUUUCAAAGGCGCUAGUUACUUGCUAGACUAUAGUGGUCAAUUAUAUGGUGCAGGCAUUGCAGAUUAAAGGAGCAGUUAGUUCGGCCACGUACCCCUUGAACCAUAGAGGAGUCGAAGGACGACCGCUACAGCGCCACCAUUCUUCAAGAAAUAUUUAUAAGAAAUUAUUUUUUUACACCUAAAAAGAUGUAUAAUAAACUUCUUAUAUUAUAUUUUUAA